rnacentral:rRNA from 1 species
CCUACGGUGGGCAGCAGUGAGGAAUAUUGGUCAAUGGACGAGAGUCUGAACCAGCCAAGUAGCGUGAAGGAUGACUGCCCUAUGGGUUGUAAACUUCUUUUAAAUGGGAAUAAAAUGUUCCACGUGUGGGAUGUUGUAUGUACCAUAUGAAUAAGGAUCGGCUAACUCCGUGCCAGCAGCCGCGGGAAUACGGAGGAUCCGAGCGUUAUCCGGAUUUAUUGGGUUUAAAGGGAGCGUAGGUGGAUUGUUAAGUCAGUUGUGAAAGUUUGCGGAUCAACCGUAAAAUGGCAGUUGAAACUGGCAGUCUUGAGUACAGUAGAGGUGGGCGGAAUUCGUGGUGUAGCGGUGAAAUGCUUAGAUAUCACGAAGAACUCCGAUUGCGAAGGCAGUUCACUGGACUGCAACUGACACUGAGGCUCGAAAGUGUGGGUAUCGAACAGGAUUAGAUACCCUUGUAGUC